GCUAGCAGCUAGCUUUUCAACAACCCUCAUGUGGUUGCCCACUGAAGCUAAGCAGGGCUUCGCCCAGUCAGUCUCUGGAUGGGAGAUCACAUGGAAAAGCUAGGUUGCUGCCAGAA
rnacentral:rRNA from 1 species